rnacentral:lncRNA from 1 species
AGCCGACAGAGCGCGGAUUAUCCGCAAUUGAUUAACUCAAGACCGAGUUGAGUAGCAUAGAUGGCUAAGGUAAAGGUAACCUUAGAAAAGAAUCGCCAAUGAGCUUAGUGUGACAAGCUAAUAAAGUAAAGAACGGCUAAUGAAUAAGAAUAGCUAAUAAAGUAAAGAAUGGCUAAUAAUAAAGAAUGUCAAGAAUAAAGAAUUGCAAGUAGUAAAGAAAGGCUAAAGCUAAAGAAUGGUAAACGAUAGAGAGUAAAAUCAGUAAUCUACUUGCAUAGUUGCAUGGAUUUCAUAUCGCAUAUCGUGAGGCAUGACAUGUAGUUCAAUAUCGAAUAAAUGUAUACAUAUCUGCUGUAUGUUAUUGGACUAAUCUGUUGCAGUGCCUCAUUAGACCUAUUGGUCGAGCUUUUCCCUUGGGUGGCCGUACCCACUGGGAACCAUGGGGUUGGUUCUCACCCCACGUUGUUUUGGGGUGUUACAGGUUCACACGUGAGUGGCGUGGCGGCGCGAGGUAAGGGCGUAGCUCUGUAGAUAGCGCCCUACCCAGAGACCAGAGAUAGCAGUACCCCGAGUAGGCAUAAACUAGGGGUAGAGGGAAAAGAAAAAGAACAAGUUGUAAUAAAUUAUUGUAACUUGGAUUGUAUUCGGAAGUUGGAAAAUGUAAUAGUAAUUGUGAUGUAAAAUG